GAAAUAUAAGAUUAUAUUGAGUUAUUGGGUUGUUAUUAGCUUUUUUAGUAAAGUUACCAAUUUAUUUUUUUCAUUUGUGAUUUCCUAAAGCCAAUGUAGAGGCCCCUAUUUCUGGGUCUAUAAUUUUGGCUAGUGUAUUAUUGAAAUUAGGAAGUUAUGGGAUUAUACGAUUUAUAGGUUUAUUUAAGUUUUCAGGUGGUGGGUAUAUUGUUGUUAUAUGUUGCUUGUUAUUUGUUUGUGGGUGGGAGGUUUAUUAACGUCUAUUAUUUGUGUCGGUCAGAGGGAUAUAACAAGAUUAAUUGCUUAUUCUUCUAUUGGUCAUAUAGGGGCUAUAUGAGAGGGAG